UGGGGAAUAUUGGACAAUGGGCGCAAGCCUGAUCCAGCCAUGCCGCGUGAGUGAUGAAGGCCCUAGGGUUGUAAAGCUCUUUCACCGGUGAAGAUAAUGACGGUAACCGGAGAAGAAGCCCCGGCUAACUUCGUGCCAGCAGCCGCGGUAAUACGAAGGGGGCUAGCGUUGUUCGGAUUUACUGGGCGUAAAGCGCACGUAGGCGGACUAUUAAGUCAGGGGUGAAAUCCCGGGGCUCAACCCCGGAACUGCCUUUGAUACUGGUAGUCUUGAGUUCGAGAGAGGGGAGUGGAAGUCCGAGUGUAGAGGUGAAAUGCGUAGAUAUUCGGAGGAACACCAGUGGCGAAGGCGGCUCACUGGCUCGAUACUGACGCUGAGGUGCGAAAGCGUGGGGAGCAAACAGG
rnacentral:rRNA from 1 species